AUUGAACGCUGGCGGCAUGCUUUACACAUGCAAGUCCAACGGUAACAGGCCGCAAGGUGCUGACGAGUGGCGAACGGGUGAGUAAUGCAUCGGAACGUGCCCAGUCGUGGGGGAUAACUACUCGAAAGAGUAGCUAAUACCGCAUACGAUCUAUGGAUGAAAGCGGGGGACCGUAAGGCCUCGCGCGAUUGGAGCGGCCGAUGUCAGAUUAGGUAGUUGGUGGGGUAAAGGCUCACCAAGCCAACGAUCUGUAGCUGGUCUGAGAGGACGACCAGCCACACUGGGACUGAGACACGGCCCAGACUCCUACGGGAGGCAGCAGUGGGGAAUUUUGGACAAUGGGCGCAAGCCUGAUCCAGCAAUGCCGCGUGCAGGAAGAAGGCCUUCGGGUUGUAAACUGCUUUUGUACGGAACGAAACGGCUCUGGUUAAUACCCGGGGCUAAUGACGGUACCGUAAGAAUAAGCACCGGCUAACUACGUG
rnacentral:rRNA from 1 species